GCCGCUCUGCACCAUCCGUUCGCCAUCUGCAUUAGUGCGAGUGCUACAUCCAUACAAAAUACACGAGCGCGUGGAACAAUACCUGCGCAAGCUCGCACUAGCAUCGUAGAUCAGACGUAACUAUUCAAUUGCCGGUAACUAAGCAGGUA